GUGGGCGUCGCCAAGAGGUUCAAGGCACCAGGUUGUGGCCCUGGCAUUCGCGGGUUCGAAUCCCGCCGUCCACCCCA
rnacentral:tRNA from 1 species